AUACGGAGGAUCCGAGCGUUAUCCGGAUUUACUGGGUUUAAAGGGUGCGUAGGCGGGUGGCUCAGUCGGCGGUGAAAUGCAGCGGCUCAACCGUUGCCCUGCCGUCGAAACUGGCCGCCUUGAAUUCGGUCGAGGCCGGCGGAAUGCGCGGUGUAGCGGGGAAAUGCUUAGAUAUCGCGCGGAACGCCGAUUGCGGAGGCAGCUGGCUGGACCGAGAUUGACGCUGAUGCACAACAGCGUGGGGAUCGAACAGGAUUAGAUACCCUGGUAGUCCACGCCGUAAACGAUGAUGGCUGGGUGUUGGCGAUACACUGUCAGCGCCUGAGCGAAAGCAUUAAGCCAUCCACCUGGGGAGUACGAUCGCAAGGUUGAA
rnacentral:rRNA from 1 species